rnacentral:lncRNA from 7 species
GGGCAAAGAAAGAUCAAAUGCUCUGCACCUGACAGAAGAUAGCAACUGAAGAGACCUCAGCUCUCAGUCCACAGGCUGUCAGCUUUGCAGUAAGUGGUGUUGUCAUUGCUGGAAGUCCAAAGGGAAGCAUCCUUAUAAAGAAACACUCUCUGGCAUGUAGUCCAGGAGAUGUGCUACUCUCUAAGGCCGGCUCACUGAGCACUUGGGCCUGUAAGAUUAUUCUGUGAAGAUCCAGACCCAGCUCUCUUUGGUGCAAGUUUUUGCUUUGAUGGAGGCAUAAAAACUAUGUGGUGUUUCUGAGACUUCUUCAAGUCAUCGGAGGAGAAUUGCUCAAUAGCAGGUUGAAAAUGUGGGAAUGGUUCCAUAUCCAAAAAUGGUUGCUGUUGGAAAAUUCUCCUUGUGAUGUUUUGAAUGCAGUCAAAGCAAAGCAGGAAUGAACUUGCCACCUCAUGUGAAAUUCUGUGAUUUUGCCCUCUCUUCCAGUUUGAAAUAGAACAGUGCAGAAAACACUGAGUGUUGGAACAGGACCCAGGAGCCAUGUGCACCGUACGCUCUGCAAUGCAAUGGCCUUUACAGAGCUGCAGAGGGAGGUUUCUUCCGUGCCUUAUUAGUUGGACCAGUUUCAUAAGGAGGCACCAUGCCAUCUGGACAGGUGGACUAAAAUGUAGGUAGCCAAAAGGUCGCAGAUGUGUGUAAAAAAUAUCUGUUGAAAGCAGAAGCUCUGAACCAGGAAUAAGAAGGUCCAGAGAUCGAAUCCCAUACCUCAUUAAUAGGGCACUGUCUCCCCACUGGGCCAGUAUGGACUAACAGCAAAAAUAAAGACGGGAGCUAUGGCUACGUUAGGUGAGAUGUGGCCUUUUUGAUUCUGAACCAUGUUUUGAUUUAUACUUUAUCUUUCUUUUAUCUUUUCCUCUAUGGAAUGCACAAAAAAGUGGCUUUCCAGACUUUCUAACACAUCUUAGGAGUUGCAUUUGUCACUAGGACUGGUGGAAAAAUAAACACUAAAAAAGCAAAACCAAAAAAAACCAACAUACUAAAUAUGCUUCACAGUUUUGUUUGUGGCUAUGAAUGCAGAUUAAUAUGAUAUUAAUGUAAUGCAAUUAAGAAAAAGCCAUUGUUAUUGUUUGAGACAGACAUUAUUUCCCCAUAGAAGAGUAAAUCAAUUGCAAUUAUUGCACUUUCUGUAAGAAUUUGCACAUUUUACUCUAGGUCAGGUCUAUUACUGAAAUGAGGUACUACUAUAUUUUAGUUAGACUGAGCAAAGGGCAGAGACAGUGACAGGUACAACGUGUAACUAAUCAUGCUGCAUGCGUAACUCUUCAAGAGUUAAUGAGGGACAAACUAAACCUAAAUGCUCUCCUGAGUCUUUACAUUCUUU